GACGAACGCUGGCGGCGUGCUUAACACAUGCAAGUCGAACGGAAAGGCCCUGCUUUUGUGGGGUGCUCGAGUGGCGAACGGGUGAGUAACACGUGAGUAACCUGCCCUUGACUUUGGGAUAACUUCAGGAAACUGGGGCUAAUACCGGAUAGGAGCUCCUGCUGCAUGGUGGGGGUUGGAAAGUUUCGGCGGUUGGGGAUGGACUCGCGGCUUAUCAGCUUGUUGGGGGGGUAGUGGAUUACCAAGGUUUUGACGGGUAGCCGGCCUGAGAGGGUGACCGGCCACAUUGGGACUGCGGUACGGCCCAGACUCCUACGGGAGGCAGCAGUGGGGAAUAUUGCACAAUGGGCGGAAGCCUGAUGCAGCAACGCCGCGUGCGGGAUGACGGCCUUCGGGUUGUAAACCGCUUUCGCCUGUGACGAAGCGUGAGUGACGGUAAUGGGUAAAGAAGCACCGGCUAACUACGUG
rnacentral:rRNA from 1 species